AGUGAACGCUGGCGGCGUGCCUAACACAUGCAAGUCGAGCGGAGCGAGGGUGCUUGCACCUUAGCUUAGCGGCGGACGGGUGAGUAAUGCUUAGGAAUCUGCCUAUUAGUGGGGGACAACAUUCCGAAAGGAAUGCUAAUACCGCAUACGCCCUACGGGGGAAAGCAGGGGAACUUCGGACCUUGCGCUAAUAGAUGAGCCUAAGUCGGAUUAGCUAGUUGGUGGGGUAAAGGCCUACCAAGGCGACGAUCUGUAGCGGGUCUGAGAGGAUGAUCCGCCACACUGGGACUGAGACACGGCCCAGACUCCUACGGGAGGCAGCAGUGGGGAAUAUUGGACAAUGGGCGGAAGCCUGAUCCAGCCAUGCCGCGUGUGUGAAGAAGGCCUUUUGGUUGUAAAGCACUUUAAGCGAGGAGGAGGCUACUUAGAUUAAUACUCUGGGAUAGUGGACGUUACUCGCAGAAUAAGCACCGGCUAACUCUGUGCCAGCCGCCGCGGUAA
rnacentral:rRNA from 1 species